rnacentral:rRNA from 1 species
GACGAACGCUGGCGGCGUGCUUAACACAUGCAAGUCGAACGGAAAGGCCCUGCUUUUGUGGGGUGCUCGAGUGGCGAACGGGUGAGUAACACGUGAGUAACCUGCCCUUGACUUUGGGAUAACUUCAGGAAACUGGGGCUAAUACCGGAUAGGAGCUCCUGCUGCAUGGUGGGGGUUGGAAAGUUUCGGCGGUUGGGGAUGGACUCGCGGCUUAUCAGCUUGUUGGUGGGGUAGUGGCUUACCAAGGCUUAGACGGGUAGCCGGCCUGAGAGGGUGACCGGCCACAAUAGGACUGAGAUACGGCCCAGACGCGAACGGGAGGCAGCAGUGGGGAAUAUUGCACAAUGGGCGGAAGCCUGAUGCAGCAACGCCGCGUGCGGGAUGACGGCCUUCGGGUUGUGAACCGCUUUCGCCUGUGACGAAGCGUGAGUGACGGUAAUGGGUAAAGAAGCACCGGCUAACUACGUG